rnacentral:rRNA from 1 species
GAUGGAGGGGGAUAACUACUGGAAACGGUAGCUAAUACCGCAUAACGUCGCAAGACCAAAGAGGGGGACCUUAGGGCCUCUUGCCAUCGGAUGUGCCCAGAUGGGAUUAGCUAGUAGGUGGGGUAACGGCUCACCUAGGCGACGAUCCCUAGCUGGUCUGAGAGGAUGACCAGCCACACUGGAACUGAGACACGGUCCAGACUCCUACGGGAGGCAGCAGUGGGGAAUAUUGCACAAUGGGCGCAAGCCUGAUGCAGCCAUGCCGCGUGUAUGAAGAAGGCCUUCGGGUUGUAAAGUACUUUCAGCGGGGAGGAAGGGAGUAAAGUUAAUACCUUUGCUCAUUGACGUUACCCGCAGAAGAAGCACCGGCUAACUCCGUGCCAGCAGCCGCGGUAAUACGGAGGGUGCAAGCGUUAAUCGGAAUUACUGGGCGUAAAGCGCACGCAGGCGGUUUGUUAAGUCAGAUGUGAAAUCCCCGGGCUCAACCUGGGAACUGCAUCUGAUACUGGCAAGCUUGAGUCUCGUAGAGGGGGGUAGAAUUCCAGGUGUAGCGGUGAAAUGCGUAGAGAUCUGGAGGAAUACCGGUGGCGAAGGCGGCCCCCUGGACGAAGACUGACGCUCAGGUGCGAAAGCGUGGGGAGCAAACAGGAUUAGAUACCCUGGUAGUCCACGCCGUAAACGAUGUCGACUUGGAGGUUGUGCCCUUGAGGCGUGGCUUCCGGAGCUAACGCGUUAAGUCGACCGCCUGGGGAGUACGGCCGCAAGGUUAAAACUCAAAUGAAUUGACGGGGGCCCGCACAAGCGGUGGAGCAUGUGGUUUAAUUCGAUGCAACGCGAAGAACCUUACCUGGUCUUGACAUCCACGGAAGUUUUCAGAGAUGAGAAUGUGCCUUCGGGAACCGUGAGACAGGUGCUGCAUGGCUGUCGUCAGCUCGUGUUGUGAAAUGUUGGGUUAAGUCCCGCAACGAGCGCAACCCUUAUCCUUUGUUGCCAGCGGUCCGGCCGGGAACUCAAAGGAGACUGCCAGUGAUAAACUGGAGGAAGGUGGGGAUGACGUCAAGUCAUCAUGGCCCUUACGACCAGGGCUACACACGUGCUACAAUGGCGCAUACAAAGAGAAGCGAACUCGCGAGAGCAAGCGGACCUCAUAAAGUGCGUCGUAGUCCGGAUUGGAGUCUGCAACUCGACUCCAUGAAGUCGGAAUCGCUAGUAAUCGUGGAUCAGAAUGCCACGGUGAAUACGUUCCCGGGCCUUGUACACACCGCCCGUCACACCAUGGGAGUGGGUUGCAAAAGAAGUAGGUAGCUUAACCUUCGGGAGGGCGCUUACCACUUUGUGAUUCAUGACUGGGGUGAAGUCGUAACAAGGUAACCGUAGGGGAACCUGCGGUUGGAUCACCUCCUUACCUUAAAGAA